rnacentral:rRNA from 1 species
AACGAACGUUGGCGGCGUGGAUUAGGCAUGCAAGUCGAGCGAAUCCCAGCAAUGGGGGAAGCGGCGAAAGGGGCAGUAAGGCAUGGGUAACCUACCCUGGGGACUGGGAUAGCCCUUCGAGAGAAGGGGUAAUACCGGGCGACGUGCCGAGGAGGCAUCUCUUUGUCACCAAAUGAAUUUCGCCCUGGGAGGGGCCCAUGUGAUAUUAGCUAGUUGGUGGGGUAACGGCCCACCAAGGCGAAGAUGUCUAGCGGGUGUGAGAGCACGACCCGCGCCCCUGGCACUGAGACACUGGCCAGACACCUACGGGUGGCUGCAGUCGAGGAUCUUCGGCAAUGGGCGCGAGCCUGACCGAGCGACGCCGCGUGUGCGAUGAAGGCCUUCGGGUUGUAAAGCACUGUCGAGAGGGAGAAAAGCGAAAGCUUGAUCUAUCUCUGGAGGAAGCACGGGCUAAGUUCGUGCCAGCAGCCGCCGUAAAAC